UACGUAGGCAGCAAGCGUUGUUCGGAGUUACUGGGCGUAAAGGGUGUGUAGGCGGUUCUUUUAAGUUUGCUGUGAAAUCUCCCGGCUUAACCGGGAGGGUGCGGUGAAUACUGAGGGACUAGAGUACGGGGAGAGGAAAGUGGAAUUCCUGGUGUAGCGGUGAAAUGCGUAGAUAUCAGGAGGAACACCGGUGGUGUAGACGGCUUUCUGGACCGUAACUGACGCUGAAACAACGAAAGCGUGGGUAGCAAACAGG
rnacentral:rRNA from 1 species